rnacentral:lncRNA from 1 species
GGGCUAGUAGAGUAGCCUCUCUGGAGCUGAUAUAAAAGCCACACUCCAGGCACGUAGGAGCAGCUCCAGCAGUGGAAAGCAGCUCCAAAGUCUUGGAGUGAUGGAUUAGCAGCCCUAGAGCUUUUGAAAUAGCAGCAGUCAUGGUAAUGGAAUAGUCUAAUAGGUAAUGUAAUAAUCUCAUCUGUGGAGUAACAACCCAAGGUGUGAAUCGUGGUUUGUAUUUAUUUUUAGGGUCUGAGAGCUUGUCAUCUCCCAUUACAGAGAAAGCUUCACCCCUCACCAAAACUCUGGAAAAUAGGCUUGGCCAAAUUCAGGUGGAGAUGUGUUUUGUGAUUUGACAUGGAUGUCAUAUGGAAUAAGGAACAUGCACAGGUUUGGGGAUUCUUCUGGAAUUUCAGUGUCUCCAGUGUUCAGGUGGCUUGUUCCCCCAUUGUCCACCUUGUCGUCAUAUGUCAAUGUGGGAGAGAUCUCACUGCCCCUCUGGAUUAAGAAUAUGGGGAGGGGGGAGAUGUGGCCCAUUUUCUUUUCCUCUGAUAUUUGAAAGAAUUCUGGGGUUUUUAUCCUGUCAUCUUAUAAUUGACAGAGCCUUUGGAGGACAUUCCAAGAAAAACAGACAGUCCAGAGGUCUUCUUGGAAAAACCCUGAUGACAUUUCAAGUGAGAAAGAAAAGCAGUGGAUGAAUGAAGAACUUGUGCUAGAUUGGUUGAAUGUGGUCUGAGGUAGUCCAGGUGCAUCACUGCAUCAGAGAGGAAUGCUCAUACUCAAUGAGUUCAAGGGUCACCUGACUGAACAUGUCAAGAAGAGAAUUGCUGAAAGGGGCAUGGACCUAGGUAGUUGUUAUUCCAGGAAGAAUGAAGUCACAAUUACAAGUGUUAGAUGUAAUAAUUAAUAAGCCAUUCAAAGAUCAUUUGAGGAAAGAAUAUAAUGAGUGGAUGUUGACCAUAAACCAUGAAUUUACUCCUUCAGGAAAAAAAAUGAAACUGUUGGUCACUGUAUUAGAGAACUGGAUCAAAUCCACUUAAGACAAAAUCUCCACAGAGUCCAUUGUUCUUGGAAUUUUAAAAUGUUGUAUAUCAAACAGUAUGGAUGGAAGUGAAGAUGGUGUUUUGUGAGAAGAGGGUGAUGGCAAUGACCUGAAUGAUGUUACCACUUCAGGAGAGGAGGAAAUAGAAGAGGAAGGAGAACAUGAUUAAAUAUUGGAAGGUAGUUUCUCACACGUUUCUAUAAAAGUAAUACAUAUUUAAUAAAAUUGUUGGCAUAAAACUUCUUUAACUUGUU